AACGAACGCUGGCGGCAUGCCUAACACAUGCAAGUCGAACGAAGUCUUCGGACUUAGUGGCGCACGGGUGCGUAACGCGUGGGAAUCUGCCCUUGGGUGCGGAAUAACUUCUCGAAAGGGAUGCUAAUACCGCAUAAUGUCGUAAGACCAAAGAUUUAUCGCCCAAGGAUGAGCCCGCGUAAGAUUAGCUAGUUGGUGGGGUAAAAGCCUACCAAGGCGACGAUCUUUAGCUGGUCUGAGAGGAUGAUCAGCCACACUGGGACUGGGACACGGCCCAGACUCCUACGGGAGGCAGCAGUGGGGAAUAUUGGACAAUGGGCGAAAGUCUGAUCCAGCAAUGCCGCGUGAGUGAUGAAGGCCUUAGGGUUGUAAAGCUCUUUUACCCGGGAUGAUAAUGACAGUACCGGGAGAAUAAGCCCCGGCUAACUCCGUGCCAGCAGCCGCGGUAAU
rnacentral:rRNA from 1 species